rnacentral:ncRNA from 1 species
UUCAUCCAGAGUAACGGAGGGACUGGCCCUAUGAUGUUACGGCAACCAUCCCGAAGUUUACCGGGAACGGUGCUAAGUCCAACAGGAUCGGUCCUGAAAGAUGAA